UACCUAUAAGACUGGGAUAACUUCGGGAAACCGGAGCUAAUACCGGAUAACAUAUUGAACCGCAUGGUUCAAUAGUGAAAGGCGGCUUUGCUGUCACUUAUAGAUGGAUCCGCGCCGUAUUAGCUAGUUGGUAAGGUAACGGCUUACCAAGGCAACGAUACGUAGCCGACCUGAGGAGGGUGAUCGGCCACACUGGAACUGAGACACCGGUCCAG
rnacentral:rRNA from 1 species